rnacentral:misc_RNA from 1 species
CGUCUUCGUCUUCCUCGUAUACCCUCAUCACGCGCCCGCGCACACGAGCACAGAUCAGCGCGCAAGCACACAGCGCGUGCAUCUUCGACGGUUUUUCACUCAUCUUUCCCAGGCUUUUUCGGUAGGAACGAAAAGUGGCGCGAGCAGCGUACCCACACCGCCGAUGAGCAGCACCGAGCGUCUCACUGAUGCCUUCCGGCUUCAGUUUCAGUGGAUUCCGGUGCUCAUCACGGACCGCAGUCACCACACAGGUAGAGAACGGAAGCGCGCCAUGCUGUUUGUGCUGCUGCAUGCUUCGUUCCUGAUGGUUCUGUGUGGCCACUUUAUGAGCGUCACCGUGUCGUGGGUACUCGCUUUCAUCCUCCAGUCCGGAGCGAUGGCGCUGUGCGUGAUGCACCUCGUCUUGCUUGAGGAGUACGCGGACUCUAUGACGAACGCACUAGAGCUAGAGCACAUGGUCAACCCUCUCAUCAUUGCCGAGGCCGCGGUGCGAUGCUUCGCUUCUCUGCAGUGUGUUCUAACUGGCUCGUGGAUGCUUCUACUGGCUGGCAGCAUAGAGCUUGCAUACGACCUCCACGUGACACAGCACCGCUCGCUGCUGAUUGAUGCGACAACUAUUUGGAAGGAGCUUGAAACCUUUCGCACCGAUGGACGUAUCCGCACUGCGUAUCAGAUACUGAUGGUGCUUUUCGCCAUCUUCUACCUCGUCUACUUGUUCUACACCGCGUGAGAGGGAGAGAGGCGGAACGGAUGGGGGGGGGUCGGAGAGGUCUGCUGAACUUUUGUGUGACCUCUGCAACACGCGUGCUUGCUGUCCAGGGCGCUGAGGAGACGGCGUGACACGCGCACGGCUCCUCUCUUCCCAGCUCUUUGUGUAUGCCGCGCUCUGUCACGCUGCCGAACCACGCGCGCGCCUAUCGGGCUACAGACCUGCGAACG